UUGGUUUGCUGUAAUUGUAUACCAUGCUGUGUGCUUUUUCAGUUUUUCUAACCCAUGGACAGGAUUAAGGGAGAUGUCAACAUUUCUCUCAGAGCAAAUGAAAUGAAGUGUGAAAGCUUGUCAUGUCUCACAUAUGAACUUGGACUUUGACUGUUGAAGAAGAUGGGCCAAGGCUGCUGUUAGUGUGACCACAAAA